rnacentral:rRNA from 1 species
GAUGAACGCUGGCGGCGUGCCUAAUACAUGCAAGUCGAGCGAACGGACGAGAAGCUUGCUUCUCUGAUGUUAGCGGCGGACGGGUGAGUAACACGUGGAUAACCUACCUAUAAGACUGGGAUAACUUCGGGAAACCGGAGCUAAUACCGGAUGAUAUUUUGAACCGCAUGGUUCAAAAGUGAAAGACGGUCUUGCUGUCACUUAUAGAUGGAUCCGCGCUGCACUAGCUAGUUGGUAAGGUAACGGCUUACCAAGGCAACGAUGCAUAGCCGACCUGAGAGAGUGAUAGGCCACACUGGAGCGUGAACACGGACCAGACUCCUACGGGAGGCAGCAGUAGGGAAUCUUACGCAGUAGGCGGGAACCUGACGGAACAACGCCGAGUGAGAGAUAGAAGUGUUCGGAUCGUAAAACUCUGUUAUUAGGGAAGAACAGAUGUGUAAGUAACUGUACACAGCUUGACGGUAACUAAUAAGAAAGCCACGGCUAACUACGUG